UAGCCCUGCUAUAAGAGAAACUGUCUAUUUGGAGUAUUAUGAAUGAACUAUGAUUGUGACACCCGCCCACCCUCUGACCUCCAGGCUGCACGCUGGAGGUGUCGUCCUGCCGCCUGCAGGAGUCUGCAGGAGGUCAGCAGAGAAACAUCAGAGGAGCAGUGGAGGAGUGAGGGAGGAGUUUCAGUGGUUCACUCCAGCAAGAGGGAGAAGAUGAUCUCCAGCCUCCUGCUGCUGCUGGUCAUGCCCUCCUCUGUCUCCGGAAGAAUUGUUGUGAGUGUGAACCAGACUUUCUACCAUGCUGUGGAGAACAGUAACAUCAUGAUGGAAUGGACCUUCCCGCCCAUCAUACCCCUCACAAACUUGAACGUCUAUUGUAUGUUUUGGUUGUCCGAUGAUAGGACUGCUAAGACUUUAUAUCAUCUACAAGGCGGCGUUGAACACCCAGAGUCUCAAGACGAGCAGUUUUUGGGACGAGCUCGAUGGGACAGGGAGGACCUGGGAAAGGGACACGUCAGACUCCACCUGUCCAGACUCAGGAUCAACGACUCCG
rnacentral:lncRNA from 1 species